UACGGAGGGAGCUAGCGUUGUUCGGAAUUACUGGGCGUAAAGCGCACGUAGGCGGCUUUGUAAGUUAGGGGGUGAAAGCCCGGGGCUCAACUCCGGAAUUGCCUUUAAGACUGCAUCGCUUGAAUCCGGGAGAGGUGAGUGGAAUUCCGAGUGUAGAGGUGAAAUUCGUAGAUAUUCGGAAGAACACCAGUGGCGGAAGGCGGCUCACUGGACCGGUAUUGACGCUGAGGUGCGAAAGCGUGGGGAGCAAACAGG
rnacentral:rRNA from 1 species